rnacentral:RNase_P_RNA from 1 species
UGUAUCAGCUGAUAGCUGCGAUAUAUUCGUAGAGGAAAGUCCGUGCUAGCACCGACUGCGAUGUUGGUAGUGUUCAUGUUAAGUUAUAAUAAGCUUAAAAAGCUCUAGACGACUAGCGCCACAGAGACGAGAAUUGUGAAACGGGUAAACUCCGUGAGCUAGAAACCCAAAUUUGGUAGGGGAACUUUGAAUAGGAAUUGAACGAUUUCAAAGAAUAUUAUUAAAUAUUAGAUAAAUUAUCAGCGCAUUUUUAAUGUACAGAACACGAGCUUAUAGAU